UGGGGAAUUUUGGACAAUGGGCGCAAGCCUGAUCCAGCAAUGCCGCGUGCAGGAUGAAGGCCUACGGGUUGUAAACUGCUUUUGCACGGAACGAAAAAGCUAUCUCUAAUACAGGGGGUGAAUGACGGUACCGUAAGAAUAAGCACCGGCUAACUACGAGCCAGCAGCCGCGGUAAUACGUAGGGUGCAAGCGUUAAUCGGAAUUACUGGGCGUAAAGCGUGCGCAGGCGGUUUUGUAAGACAAAGGUGAAAUCCCAGGGCUCAACCUGGGAACUGCCUUUGUGACUGCAAAGCUGGAGUGCGGCAGAGGGGGAUGGAAUUCCGCGUGUAGCAGUGAAAUGCGUAGAUAUGCGGAGGAACACCGAUGGCGAAGGCAAUCCCCUGGGCCUGCACUGACGCUCAUGCACGAAAGCGUGGGGAGCAAACA
rnacentral:rRNA from 1 species